GAUGAACGCUGGCGGCGUGCCUAAUACAUGCGAGUCGAGCGAACGGACGAGAAGCUUGCUUAUCUGAUGUUAGCGGCGGACGGGUGAGUAACACGUGGAUAACCUACCUAUAAGACUGGGAUAACUUCGGGAAACCGGAGCUAAUACCGGAUAAUAUUUUGAACCGCAUGGUUCAAAAGUGAAAGACGGUCUUGCUGUCACUUAUAGAUGGAUCCGCGCUGCAUUAGCUAGUUGGUAAGGUAACGGCUUACCAAGGCAACGAUGCAUAGCCGACCUGAGAGGGUGAUCGGCCACACUGGAACUGAGACACGGUCCAGACUCCUACGGGAGGCAGCAGUAGGGAAUCUUCCGCAAUGGGCGAAAGCCUGACGGAGCAACGCCGCGUGAGUGAUGAAGGUCUUCGGAUCGUAAAACUCUGUUAUUAGGGAAGAACAUAUGUGUAAGUAACUGUGCACAUCUUGACGGUACCUAAUCAGAAAGCCACGGCUAACUACGUG
rnacentral:rRNA from 1 species